rnacentral:misc_RNA from 1 species
AACGCACAUUGCGCCCUUUAGUAUUCUGAAGGGCAUGCCUGUUCGAGCGUCAUUAUCACUAAUCAAGCCUGGCUUGCUGUUGGACCUCUUGUCGUUAAAAACCGACAGGCCCUAAAGAUAAUGACGGCGUUACUUGGACCCUAGAUGCAACGAGCUUUCAUUAGCACGCGUUUAGUCGGACCUUUUAACCCGGUCUUUUUUAACCCAAUUUUUCUAAGGUUGACCUCGGAUCAGGUAGGAAUACCCGCUGAACUUAA